AUGGUAAUCUGUCAACCCGUCCUCAAGCGUAACAACUGCAUUAUUCGAGACUUCCUCUGGCACGGACGGCACGACGCCAAUGGUGGCCACUGCUUGGUCAAUUGGCAACGCGUUUGUUGCCUGCUUGAGUACGGCGGCCUCUGGAUCCUGAUUUUGCGCCAAUUUGGGCUUGCACUGCGCACGCAGUGGCUUUGGCUGCAACACACGGAACUUUCCCGCCCCUGGAUUCAUCUUCACCUGUCGGACGAUGCGGAAGCCCGCGCCCUUUUCCGGGCAUCCACAUCAUGGUACAUUGGGGACGGGAGAUCAUGCCGUUUCUGGAUAGACUGCUUGCUGGACGGGCAAUCCAUCUCGGAUCUCGCGCCGACCAUCGCCUCCCUCGUCCCUCGCCGGCGCCGCAAGACCUGUACCGUGGCCGAGGGGCUUCAUCUGCGCGCCUGGAUACGUGAGAUCCAAGGUGCCAUGUCUCCACUCGCCAUGUUCGAGUACACUGAGCUCUGGCGUCGUCUUCACCACACCGCCAUCAACUUCUAG
rnacentral:rRNA from 1 species